GGCAGGAUACACUAUAGGGCGAAUGAAUUACCGGCCGCGUAUCGCCCUUAGAGUUUGAUCCUGGCUCACGACGAACGCUGACGGCGCGCCUAACACAUGCAAGUCGAACGAGCGAGAGAGAGCUUGCUUUCUCAAGCGAGUGGCGAACGGGUGAGUAACGCGUGAGGAACCUGCCUCAAAGAGGGGGACAACAGUUGGAAACGACUGCUAAUACCGCAUAAGCCCACAGCUCGGCAUCGAGCAGAGGGAAAAGGAGCAAUCCGCUUUGAGAUGGCCUCGCGUCCGAUUAGCUAGUUGGUGAGGUAAUGGCCCACCAAGGCGACGAUCGGUAGCCGGACUGAGAGGUUGAACGGCCACAUUGGGACUGAGACACGGCCCAGACUCCUACGGGAGGCAGCAGUGGGGAAUAUUGCACAAUGGGGGAAACCCUGAUGCAGCGACGCCGCGUGGAGGAAGAAGGUCUUCGGAUUGUAAACUCCUGUUGUUGAGGAAGAUAAUGACGGUACUCAACAAGGAAGUGACGGCUAACUACGUGCCAGCAGCCGCGGUAAAACGUAGGUCACAAGCGUUGUCCGGAAUUACUGGGUGUAAAGGGAGCGCAGGCGGGAAGACAAGUUGGAAGUGAAAUCUAUGGGCUCAACCCAUAAACUGCUUUCAAAACUGUUUUUCUUGAGUAGUGCAGAGGUAGGCGGAAUUCCCGGUGUAGCGGUGGAAUGCGUAGAUAUCGGGAGGAACACCAGUGGCGAAGGCGGCCUACUGGGCACCAACUGACGCUGAGGCUCGAAAGUGUGGGUAGCAAACAGGAUUAGAUACCCUGGUAGUCCACAUCGUAAACGAUGAUUACUAGGUGUUGGAGGAUUGACCCCUUCAGUGCCGCAGUUAACACAAUAAGUAAUCCACCUGGGGAGUACGACCGCAAGGUUGAAACUCAAAGGAAUUGACGGGGCCCGCACAAGCAGUGGAGUAUGUGGUUUAAUUCGACGCAACGCGAAGAACCUUACCAAGUCUUGACAUCCUGCGACGCACAUAGAAAUAUGUGUUUCCUUCGGGACGCAGAGACAGGUGGUGCAUGGUUGUCGUCAGCUCGUGUCGUGAGAUGUUGGGUUAAGUCCCGCAACGAGCGCAACCCUUACUGUCAGUUACUACGCAAGAGGACUCUGGCAGGACUGCCGUUGACAAAACGGAGGAAGGUGGGGAUGACGUCAAAUCAUCAUGCCCUUUAUGACUUGGGCUACACACGUACUACAAUGGCGUUAAACAAAGAGAAGCAGGACCGCGAGGUGGAGCAAAACUCAGAAACAACGUCCCAGUUCGGACUGCAGGCUGCAACUCGCCUGCACGAAGUCGGAAUUGCUAGUAAUCGUGGAUCAGCAUGCCACGGUGAAUACGUUCCCGGGCCCUUGUACACACCGCCCGUC
rnacentral:rRNA from 1 species